GGAGCUCAGAAGGGCCAGGGACUCUGCCUCCUCACCCACGGAGGGGGCAGGAAGGACCCUGAGCCCGGCUCCUAGCAUCACCUCCUAAACGCACAGCUCGCACUCCAUCGCUCGUCUCGUGUCUGCUUCUAGAGGACGCCAACUGGAGACCCUGGCAGAAUCCAGGAGCGGCACUCCACCUGCCUGGGUCUCGUUUCCUACAUGUGAGAAGGGGACCGUCUACCCGGAUUAACCAGGAAGCCGCUUUGCGCUCUAGCCACCGAGGAGUCCCGGAACCUCACCAGGCAGUGCGUGAGGCCAUGGCACAGAUCUCCCAGCCCCACCGGGAGCACCUGCACCUCCACAGCCCGCCUUGCUCUCCUCUCGGGACACUCUGAAAUGCUGCCUUAGGAUGGAUUCCUCCCAAAGCUGACCCUGAGACAAAGAUUCAAGUAGGUGAGAGAAAUCGCCAUCAAAAGAGGAAAAUGGUGAAAUAGCACAGUCACAGACUCCCUUAAUGUGGCUUUGGAAUUCUUUCUGGUAAGUGCUGACAACACUUUUGCUCAGAGAAAAUGCAUAUUAAUGGGAAGAAAAGGGAAAGCAACAAUUUACUGGACCACAGUGACACACUUUUGUAUUGGUGCCAUUUCGCCUUCAAAGGGGCCCUGGAAUCGGCAUUACUUUCAGCCCCAUCGUAUGGACUACAAAACAAGACUUUAGAGAGGCCCCCGGGGCCUGCCCAAG